rnacentral:rRNA from 1 species
GUCGAGAAUUUUUCACAAUGGGCGAAAGCCUGAUGGAGCGACGCCGCGUGGGGGAUGAAUGGCUUCGGCCCGUAAACCCCUGUCAUUCGCGAUCAACCCUUAUUAUUUAAAAGAUGAUGAGCUGAUAGUAGCGGAAGAGGAAGGGACGGCUAACUCUGUGCCAGCAGCCGCGGUAAUACAGAGGUCCCGAGCGUUGUUCGGAUUCACUGGGCGUAAAGGGUGCGUAGGUGGUGGGGUAAGUCGGAUGUGAAAUCUCCAAGCUCAACUUGGAAAUGGCAUUGGAAACUGCCCUGCUAGAGGAUCGGAGGGGGGACUGGAAUACUUGGUGUAGCAGUGAAAUGCGUAGAUAUCAAGUGGAACACCAGUGGCGAAGGCGAGUCCCUGGACGAUACCUGACACUGAGGCACGAAAGCUAGGGGAGCAAACAGGAUUAGAAACCCUAGUAGUCC